rnacentral:rRNA from 1 species
UAGAGUUUGAUCAUGGCUCAGAUUGAACGCUGGCGGCAGGCCUAACACAUGCAAGUCGAGCGGCAGCACGAGAAAGCUUGCUUUCUUGGUGGCGAGCGGCGGACGGGUGAGUAAUACAUGGGAAUCUGCCCGAUAGUGGGGGACAACGUUUCGAAAGGAACGCUAAUACCGCAUACGUCCUACGGGAGAAAGCAGGCUUAGGCUUGCGCUAUCGGAUGAGCCCAUGUCGGAUUAGCUUGUUGGUGAGGUAAUGGCUCACCAAGGCGACGAUCCGUAACUGGUCUGAGAGGAUGAUCAGUCACACCGGAACUGAGACACGGUCCGGACUCCUACGGGAGGCAGCAGUGGGGAAUAUUGGACAAUGGGGGCAACCCUGAUCCAGCCAUGCCGCGUGUGUGAAGAAGGCCUUCGGGUUGUAAAGCACUUUCAGCGAGGAGGAAACGACAGUACAGGUUAAUACCCUUAU